rnacentral:misc_RNA from 1 species
UCUCCGUUGGUGAACCAGCGGAGGGAUCAUUGCUGGAACGCGCCCCUGGCGCACCCAGAAACCCUUUGUGAACUUAUACCUUACUGUUGCCUCGGCGCAGGCCGUCCCCCAUGGGGUCCCUCUGGAGACAGAGGAGCAGCCGGCCGGUGGCCAAAUUAACUCUGUUUUUACACUGAAACUCUGAGUACAAUACAUAAAUGAAUCAAAACUUUCAACAACGGAUCUCUUGGUUCUGGCAUCGAUGAAGAACGCAGC